rnacentral:rRNA from 1 species
CCUACGGGAGGCUGCAGUGAGGAAUAUUGGUCAAUGGACGAGAGUCUGAACCAGCCAAGCAGCGUGAAGGAUGACUGCCCUAUGGGUUGUAAACUUCUUUUAUAAAGGAAUAAAACGAGGCACGUAUGCCUUUUUUCAUGUAUUUUAUGAAUAAGGAUCGGCUAACUCCGUGCCAGCAGCCGCGGUAAUGCGGAGGAUCCGAGCGUUAUCCGGAUUUAUUGGGUUUAAAGGGAGCGUAGAUGGGUUGUUAAGUCAGUUGUGAAAGUUUGCGGCUCAACCGUAAAAUUGCAAUUGAUACUGGCAGUCUUGAGUACAGUUGAGGUAGGCGGAAUUCGUGGUGUAGCGGUGAAAUGCUUAGAUAUCACGAAGAACCCCGAUUGCGAAGGCAGCUUACUAAACUGUGACUGACAUUGAUGCUCGAAAGUGUGGGUAUCAAACAGGAUUAGAUACCCGAGUAGUC